GGGGUCCAGUUCCUUGGAGAUGUCGCUGGGAAGUUUUCGAGGCUGGGUGGGCUUCUCAGGGAAUGGUGAGGCGGGAAGGCCAAUGCAGGGGGUACAGUGCUCCCUCCCUGAGAGGGUGUUUCCUUCGAUGCUGAGAGAGAAGGAAAGGUGGCCACCGAGGGGGCCUCCCAGCAUGCAGGAAUCUGGUCCCAGCUGCCUGAGGCUGUGCCAAAAGCCUGGGAUUUACUGCCCUCCCCCGCCACCCACCCCAGCCAGCUGGGGAAAGGGUGUUGAGGGGAAAUGCAUUCCAAAUCAAAAAGGCAUCAGGGCCACCCCUGCCGGCAUCACGAGGUUGGUCUGCAGAGCCGGAGAGAAUCACCUGGGACAGAUCACACCAGAGCCCGAUCUCCAUGGGACAGGUCUGUACAGCGGCAUCUUCAAGAUGCUGAAAUUGGUCACACAGCCUCGAGUCUCAAGGCCCGGACAGAUGUGUUCUAUACACUUGUUUAAACACGGCGCUCAUUAGGAGGCCUGCUCGGAAGUACACAGCUUCCCGUCAGAGAGCCGCCGAGCUGCCUUGGAGGACGUAUUAAUUGUUGUCAGCCUCCAUUUCACACUCCAGAUAACAAACGAGAGCCACCCUGGCAGUGUUUAAGGAAGAUAAACAAGUUGCCUGAGCCCCUGCAAUUAAACACGCUUGCAUAUUUAACUGAGAUGUUUCCUGUAAAAAAAAAAAAAAAAAAAAAGAGGCAGCAC